AGUUAUACCCAUCAUAAUUUAAAGAAAUAAACACGUGAAAUAUAUCGGUUUGUGUGGAUUGAAUGUAUACAUUAUACAAGUUUCACUUUUUGAAUGGAAUUACUGAAAUAAAUCAACUUUUUCGUGAUAUUCUAAUUAUAUGACCAGCA